UUAUGGAACUGACAAGGGCUAUCGGUAUCAAAAGAAGCUACUUGGGAAGGUAAGACUGCAGCACUCUUCAUUUAUUAAAAUAUUAAUCCACUGUUGGAGCUUACCUGAUAUUGAGUACCUACAUUCUCUAAUAAGCAGAAACAAUAGUUUGAAUGGAGUUGACUAAAUUAGUAUGACUAUGCUUUCUGCCUUCAAUUUCAUAUGAUUUUGUUCCUGGUAAAAUUAUUCUGUUCUUGUCCAAUUCAGUUGAAAGAGGGAUUGAAAA
rnacentral:misc_RNA from 1 species